UAGACAGGAUCACAGAUAGUGCGCCCAUGAU
rnacentral:piRNA from 1 species